CAGCCGCCACGGGAAUACGAAGGGGGCUAGCGUUGUUCGGAUUUACUGGGCGUAAAGCGCACGUAGGCGGAUCGAUCAGUCAGGGGUGAAAUCCCAGAGCUCAACUCUGGAACUGCCUUUGAUACUGUCGAUCUGGAGUAUGGAAGAGGUGAGUGGAAUUCCGAGUGUAGAGGUGAAAUUCGUAGAUAUUCGGAGGAACACCAGUGGCGAAGGCGGCUCACUGGUCCAUUACUGACGCUGAGGUGCGAAAGCGUGGGGAGCAAACAGGAUUAGAUACCCGCGUAGUCCCUGUCUCUUAUAC
rnacentral:rRNA from 1 species